AAGGGGAGUAAGAACCAACAGGGAUUGCCCCAGUAACGGCGAGUGAAGCGGCAACAGCUCAAAUUUGAAAUCUGGCCCCCGGGUCCGAGUUGUAAUUUGUAGAGGAUGCUUUUGGCGAGGUGCCUUCCGAGUUCCCUGGAACGGGACGCCAUAGAGGGUGAGAGCCCCGUCUGGUCGGAUACCGAGCCUCUGUAAAGCUCCUUCGACGAGUCGAGUAGUUUGGGAAUGCUGCUCAAAAUGGGAGGUAUAUGUCUUCUAAAGCUAAAUAUUGGCCAGAGACCGAUAGCGCACAAGUAGAGUGAUCGAAAGAUGAAAAGCACUUUGAAAAGAGGGUUAAAAAGUACGUGAAAUUGUUGAAAGGGAAGCGCCUAUGACCAGACUUGGGCCCGGUGAAUCACCCAGCGUUCUCGCUGGUGCACUUCGCCGGGCACAGGCCAGCAUCAGUUUGGCGCGGGGGAGAAAGGCUUCGGGAAUGUGGCUCCCCCGGGAGUGUUAUAGCCCGUUGCGCAAUACCCUGCGCUGGACUGAGGUACGCGCAUUCGCAAGGAUGCUGGCGUAAUGGUCAUCAGCGACCCGUCUUGAAACACGGACCAAGGAGUCGUCUUCGUAUGCGAGUGUUCGGGUGUCAAACCCCUACGCGUAAUGAAAGUGAACGCAGGUGAGAGCUUCGGCGCAUCAUCGACCGAUCCUGAUGUUCUCGGAUGGAUUUGAGUAAGAGCAUACGGGGCCGGACCCGAAAGAAGGUGAACUAUGCCUGUAUAGGGUGAAGCCAGAGGAAACUCUGGUGGAGGCUCGCAGCGGUUCUGACGUGCGAAUCGAUCGUCAAAUAUGGGCAUGGGGGCGAAAGACUAAUCGAACCUUCUAGUAGCUGGUUUCCGCGGUUU
rnacentral:rRNA from 1 species